rnacentral:rRNA from 1 species
CCCUUAGAUGUUCUGGGCCGCACGCGCGCUACACUGAUUCAUUCAUCAAGUCUAUAACCUUGGUAGAAAUGCUUGGGUAAUCUUUGAAACUGAAUCGUGCUGGGGAUUGGAGCUUGUAAUUAUUCUCCAUGAACGAGGAAUUCCUAGUAAACGCGAGUCAUCAGCUCGCAUUGAUUACGUCCCUGCCCUUUGUACACACCGCCCGUCGUACCUACCGAUUGAAUGGUCCGGUGAAAUCUUCGGACCGGGCGAUGGUCAGCAAUGGCCGCUGCCUGGAAAGUCGCUUAAACCUUACCAUUUAGAGGAAGGUGAAGUCGUAACA